AGAUUAAUAAUUAAUAAAUAUUUUAAUUUAUUAUUCUUCAAAAUUUCCAUACACUUUAUGGUUCAUCAUUUCUUCAUGGUUUGUCCAUUUUCGCUUUCUAUAAUGCUAAUAUUUUGUUAGAAUUUCACAUUUUUUGCGAUGAACUCUCCACUUAUCUCGUGCGUCCUCGUAAACUUCUCUUCUUCUUAGGGUCUUCACAACAUCUCUGUUUCUUCAUUUUGGACCUCAGUCGAAUCGAUUUAUGUCGUUUGUUAUGCACUUACGUUUGCUGAUUCUUCGUUUCAUGCUAAGCAUGUUGUUCAGUUAUUGUUGCCGUGCUUCAAUUGGAGUUAUUGGCUUUUAUGUAGCCUUGCUGGUAAUUUCUUAAUUCAAUUGUUUUUGAAAUAAUUUGAUUAAGAGGUUUUUGUGAGAGGAGGUUUUGGACGCGUCUGUGUGAAAGUGAGAUAACACAGAUAGUUAUUCCAUCCUUGAAGAUUGACUUGGAGGGAAGGUAAGAGCAAACGAUUUUUUAAUUUUCAGAAGUAUGAACCCACAUCUUCACUUUUUCCCACUUGCUGUAAAACUUGAGUUUCUAAACCAUCUCACAAGAAAGGGCUUUGUGUUAAGAUUAUUUUUGAAUAUAUUUCCCACAAAUUCAGGUAAUUUAUUGUUCUUUGUCUUUCUUUUCUUGUUCGUUUAUUUAGAAUCUUCAUAUUUUUUAUCCAUCUCCAAUUAAUCCUACUUCUAUCCCUACACUAGAGUAAGGGGUUGCAGAAUUCAAAGCACCAAUCUGCUGUGGCCAGCCAGCCAUCCCAAUACCCGUGUAUAUAACUGAUGUAUUCAAUUAUCUAUUAACUCGAAUAAUGAUUCUUUGGUUGGCUCAUAAUCCACAAGUUGUAGGAUCAAAUCUCACUAUUGAUAUGAGGAUCUUGUUGGUAAGUGAUUUCUACUUCAAUAAGUACUCUUUGAGGUUGGAGACAUGCCUGGUCUAGUGAGUCCACGAUGCUCAAUUCUCAACCAAAAAAAAAAAAGGAAUAAUGGUCCUUUGUGUGUGAGUUCUUUAAUGGCAAAGUCACCGAAAUUCUUCUUGCACCAAUAGCCCGAAGCGCCAAUUAUAAGUAAAAUAUGGGAGAUUUAAAUUACUUGCAACAUAAAAAUCUUUCUUGACCAUUCUUCUCAUCCCUUUAUUCUCUCCAUUUCUCUUUGGUUUGUGUCCCCCCCCACCAAUUUGCUGCAACUUUGGAGUCGUACCUUCACAUCGAAUGUACAAAGAACUUUUAUUUUCAAAACGAUUCGUUCAUUUCAACAUAUCUCGCUAAGUAUAGAAUGCAAAUGUUUGCGGUGAACAAUUUUUUUUUAUUAAAUGAAUAUAAUUGGGCUUACUUUGAAUUUUGAAGGGCUAAUAUAGUUUGCAUAUUUAAUCCAGAUAUGGGCAUUGAAACAUCUUUUAGUCCAAACAGGGCAUAACCAUUCUACCCUCUGUAUUUUUUUUGGACGUAACAAAAACUUCCUUUUUUCUCAAGGGAAAUUUUUGCUGGUCUCUGCUUGUAACUGGCUAGCAGGCAGAGCAUCAAUUCAACAAUUUAUUCUCUUCAUCUUUACUAUUUGGAUAGUAGAUUUUUAAUAUAACUUGUAAGUUUGAAAGAACCAAUCCAACUUCUUCAGUUCACAACUUCACUUUUUCAUUGUGGCACUUCAGAUCUUCAAUCUCUAUUGUAAGAGUGAUUCCAAGCUAAGAUGAUAGUGUCUUCCACUUCCUUCAACUAUCAAUGGAAAUAUGAUGUCUUCCUCAGUUUCAGAGGUGAAGAUACACGUAAUGGUUUCACUGGUCAUCUUUAUUUUGCUCUUUGUGAGCGUGGAAUUGGUACCUUCAUAGAUGAUGGAGAGCUUAGAAAAGGGGAUGAAAUUACGCCAACACUUUUUGAAGCAAUUGAACAAUCUAGGAUGGCCAUUAUCAUAUUUUCUGAGAACUAUGCAUCCUCAACAUUUUGCCUCAAAGAACUUGUCAAGAUCUUACAAUGUAUUAAGGGAAAUGGGCGGCUGGUUUUGCCAAUUUUUUAUCAUGUGCUACCUUCUCAUGUGCGAUAUCAAGAAGGCAAGUAUGAAGAAGCAUUGGCUUUGCAUGAAAAAAAGUUGAAGGCUAAUCCGGAUGUGUUGAAAAGUUGGAAGAGUGCAUUACAUAAAGCAAGUAAUAUAUCAGGUUUUCACUUCACUGAUAGGCAUGAAUAUGAGUAUCAAUUCAUUCAGCGGAUUGUGAAAGAGAUCUCUGGUAAGAUCAAUAGGACUCCUUUGCAUAUUGCAGACUAUCCGGUUGGAUUGGAGUCUCGAGUGUUAAAAAUUAACUCUCUUUUAAAACUUGAGUCUGAUAAUGAAGGCAAAAUGGUAGGAAUAUGGGGAAUUGGGGGAGUUGGUAAAACAACAAUUGCACGUGCUGUAUACAACUCAAUUGCUGAUAACUUUGAGGGCUUAUGCUUUGUCCAUGAUGUGAAAGAAAAUGCAAAUAAAUUAGGCCUUGAACAAAUGCAAGAGAGAAUGCUUUCAAAAAUUUUAGGGGUCGAUAUCAAGGUGAUGGAUGUUAAUGAAGGAAUUGCAGUAAUAAAACAAAGACUCGCUCAAAAGAAAAUUCUUUUGAUUCUUGAUAAUGUUGAUAAAAGAGAGCAUUUGGAAAAACUUGCUGGUGGUUGUUAUUGGUUUGGUUCUGGCAGUAGGAUUAUUAUUACAACAAGGAAUAAACAGUUACUCAAAAAGCAUGGAGUUGAAACAAUAUAUAACAUGAAGGAACUCAAUGAUGAUGAAUCUUUUGAACUGUUACGUUGGAAUGCCUUUAAAGGUUGUAAUGUUGAUCCAUCUUACAUGGAAGUUUUGAGUGGUGCAAUGCAGUAUGCCCAAGGCCUUCCACUAGCCCUUGAAGUAAUAGGCUCUCACUUGUUUGGUAAGAGUAUAAAUGAGUGGAAAUCUGCAUUAGAUGUCUAUAAAAGAAUUCCAGACAAAGAAAUUCAACAGAUACUACAAGUAAGCUAUAACAGCUUGCAAGAGGUAGAGAAGGAAACUUUCCUAGAUAUUGCUUGUUUUUUCAAAGGGAAAGAGGUUGAAUAUGUCAAAGAUAUGGUGGAAUAUGCUCAUUGUUUUGAUCCAAGUUACUGUAUGGAAGUAUUGAAAGACAAAUGCCUCAUUAAGAUUGAAAAUGGUUGUAUUAAAAUGCAUGACUUGAUACUUGUCAUGGGAAGAGAAAUUGUUAAUCAAGAAUCACCAAAAGAGCCGGGAAAGCGAAGUAGAUUAUGGUCCCAUGAAGAUAUUAUUACUGUUCUGGAAAAAAACACUGGUACAGAAAAAAUAGUUGCUAUAAUUCAAGAACAUCAGUGUGGAACUGUGAAAGUAAAUUUGGACAGAAUGGCUUUAAGAAGGAUGACAAAUCUUAAAGUACUUUUUCUCAAGGAGGCCUGGUUUUUAAAUGGUCCUGUAUAUCUUCCAAGUUGUUUAAGGGUAUUGCAGUGGUGGGGAUAUCCAGCAACUUGUUUACCAGCUAAUUUUGAUCCUACGAACCUUGCUGUUCUUGAUUUGCAGGGAAGUAGGCUACUGCAGUGGUUGGAAUCGAAAGUAAAAUGGGAGAAUAUGACUAUUUUGAAUCUAAAGAAAUGUCCAUUUCUAAGACAGAUCCCUGAGGCAUCUGGCUUCCCAAAUUUAAUUGAAUUGUCUUUGGAAGGUUGUGGAAAUUUAAUUGAAAUCCCUGAUUCAAUUGGAUUUUUGGAAAAGCUUGAAAUCUUUGAUGUUGGACGGUGUCACAAGCUUAGGACUCUUCCAAGUGCAAUCAUGAUGCCCAAUCUUCUAUAUCUCGGACUUGAACACUGUUCAAGUCUUGAGAAAUUUCCAGAAAUACUGGAAAAAAUGCAAUUUAUAGAAAAUGUUGAUUUGCGUGGUACAAACGUUAAGUUGCCAUUUUCAGUUUGUAAUUUGACUAGGCUUCAAACUUUAGAUAUGAGAGAAUGUGAUAGAGUUGUUCUGCAACCAAGUAGCCUUGAUAUGUUGCAAGAACUAGAAGUGAUAUCUAGUAAAGAUUGUAGAGAAGACCGAAAAGAAGUGGGCCUCUUCUUGUCUUGUCCAAACGUGGAGGUGAUUAGGCUGCCUGGGUGCAAUGUUUCCGAUAAAUUCCUCCCAAUUUGUCUUACUUGGUUCGCCAAUGUGGAAUGCUUAUUAUCCGUUACUGAUUUUUCAUUUCUUCCUGCAUGCAUUAAAGAUUGUCGUCUUGUGGAAAAAUGUUAUCUAGAUCAUUCAAAACAUGUGGGAGAAAUAAGUGGGGUUCCACCAAAAUUGGAAGAAAUGUGGGCACGAGAUUGCUUAUCAAGAAGCAUAUUACUAAGUCAGGAACCACUUGAUGAUGGAGACAAAUUAUUUUUCAUGCCAGGAUCGACAAUUCGAGAAUGGUUGCACCAUUACAGCAUAGGACCAUCCAUUUCUCUAUGGUUCCGUGAUAAGCCCCCAGUGAUCUCUCUCUGUUUUGUUAGAAAGAAAAUGGUUCUUGAUGUUUUAUGUGCUGAGGUAAUCCUUAAUGGCAGAAUAACAUGUUUCAAUGAAGGUGACAUGAUGAAGGACACUAUGAUGAUCCAUUGUUCAAUGUUAUCAAAUUACAUGUUAUCGAGUUGGGAUAUGAAAUUCACCAACAAACUUGGCACGCUGUUUCUUAGUGAGUGGAAUCAUGUUGAGAUUUGUAUCUAUGAAGAUGUGUGGAGGCAUAUGAAUGAGCUAGGGAUCCAUGUAAAUGAAGAAGAAAGUAUCAUGGAGGACAUUCGAUUCACAAAUCCGUAUAAAAGUUUCAGAAUAUCAACUUAAGUGGAAAUGACAUGAGAACUCAUAAAGAUGACAUGUCAAAACUAUAGACUUUCCUCAAAUUCCACAAGCUUCGUUUGGGAUCCAAUGGAAUUUGAAUAUCAAGGGUCAUGUCACAACAAGCCCCAGGACCAAAAUACCAAGAUUUGUUAAGAAGGCCAAUAUAGGAUGGUAUCCAGAUCAAAGAAGAGAUCCGUGACCAAAUAGGUUUUGGCCAAUACGAUGCAUACAACACCGAAGCUGUUGACCCAAACAUCACACAAAAUCUAUUCUUGGCUUCUUCAGGCUGACAACCCCCAAAUGGAUCUGUUUCGUCCCAGGAUCCUUCGACAUUCAUCACUGCCCAUAAGCUCGACGGUGAAAAUUACCUCCAAUGGUUUCAAUCAUUCCUUAUGUUUCUCUGUGGAUGCGGAAAAGAAUUUAUUGAUGGGUGUGCACCACCUGUAGCUCCUUCUGACUCCAAGGCAAACUGAAAAUAGCCAAGUCAUGUCUUGGCUUAUCAAUGCAAUGACACUAGAUUAAGAUAUAUGGGAGGCCGCAUGAGAACUCUAAUCAUCUGCCUCAAACAUGGUUGUUUUGUUUGAAAUCAAGGGGCAAUUGAAUGUGCUGAAGCAGAACAAUAUGUCUGUGACUGACUACUACAGUGCGUUGGUUCAACUAUGGCAGCAAAUUGACCUUUAUGAGGUCCAUUUAUGGUCAUGGUCAUGCAAUGAAGAUGCCAGGUAUUAUCAAAAAUUCAUUGAAACUGAAAGAGUUUAUAAGUUUCUAUUUGGCUUGAACACAGAAUUUGAAGAGGUUAGAAGCAGAAAUUCUCUGUUGCUUCCCGCUGCCUUCCAUUUAUGAGGUUCUCUCUAUGGUCAAGCUAGAAGAGAGCCGCAAGCAUAUUAUAGGGGGGGGUUUCAUUAACCUGUUCCUCUUGGAGUUUCUGCUCAUGGGCCACCAGCUGAAGAUGGCAAAGGCAAGAAGGGAAGACACUUGUUAUGUGAUCAUUGUAACAAAGUUGGACAUAUUGGGGACACUUGUUCUGGAAGAUUCAUGGGUGCCCUACUCAAGAUAAAUCAAAGGAAAAGAGAGAAAGCAAAGGCUAUUCUAUAGCCUUGAUAAGUAUGAACAAAAGCUUGAUCUCAAUAAGUUACGCUAACGAGUUGACCAAUUGUAGGACCACUCAACACUCAUGAAAGACAAAAGUCUCUAAAAGUGAGCACUGCCACCGAUUUAGUGGCCACUAAAUUGGGUAUGAUUUCAACUGCUUACACCUCUAUACUUCAAGAUUCAAACAUGUGGAUAGUGCAUUUGAGGGCUGCUGAUCGCAUAACAAGUGAUAUUUCAUUUUUUACGGACUUGAGACCAUGUUCAGAGAAAUGGGCUGGCAAAACUGCAAAUGGGAGAAUGACAAAUAAGGACCCUCAAAAAAAUAUCAAGGAUCUUUUGUAACUGAAACAUCAAGAAUUUACCAUUGAAACAUCAAGAUUUGCAACUCAAAGGUAUUAUUUUGUAUUAAUUUCCUUAUAAGGUCUUUAUUUGUCA